rnacentral:rRNA from 1 species
ACGCGAAAGUCCCGCAAGGGAUCAGUAGAGUGGCAAACGGGUGAGUAACACGUGGGUGACCUGCCUUCGAGUGGGGGAUAACGUCCCGAAAGGGACGCUAAUACCGCAUGACAUCCUGCCUUCGAAGAGGUGGAGAUCAAAGCUGGGGAUCGCAAGACCUAGCGCUUGAAGAGGGGCCCGCGUCCGAUUAGCUAGUUGGUGGGGUAACGGCUCACCAAGGCAACGAUCGGUAGCCGGCCUGAGAGGGCGGACGGCCACACUGGGACUGAGACACGGCCCAGACUCCUACGGGAGGCAGCAGUGGGGAAUUGUUCGCAAUGGGCGCAAGCCUGACGACGCAACGCCGCGUGGAGGAUGAAGAUCUUCGGGUCGUAAACUCCUUUCGAUCGAGACGAACGGCUUCCGGGUGAACAAUCCGGGAGAGUGACGGUACCGAGAGAAGAAGCCCCGGCUAACUCCGUGCCAGCAGCCGCGGUAAUACGGGGGGGGGCAAGCGUUGUUCGGAAUUACUGGGCGUAAAGGGCUCGUAGGCGGCCAACUAAGUCAGACGUGAAAUCCCUCGGCUUAACCGGGGAACUGCGUCUGAUACUGGAUGGCUUGAGGUUGGGAGAGGAAUGCGGAAUUCCAGGUGUAGCGGUGAAAUGCGUAGAUUUCUGGAGGAACACCGGUGGCGAAGGCGGCAUCCUGGACCAAUUCUGACGCUGAGGAGCGAAGGCCAGGGGACAAACGGGGAUUAGAUACCCCGGUAGUCCUGGCCCUAAAACGAUGAAUGCUGGGUGUGACGGGUAUCGAUCCCUGUCGUGCCCAAACUAACGCAUUAAGCAUCCCGCUGGGGAAUACG